rnacentral:rRNA from 1 species
UGAGGAAUAUUGGUCAAUGGGCGGGGAGCCUGAACCAGCCAAGCCGCGUGAGGGAAGAAGGUACAGCGUAUCGUAAACCUCUUUUGUCAGGGAACAAAGGCGGGGACUAGUCCCCGGAUGAGGGUACCUGAAGAAAAAGCAUCGGCUAACUCCGUGCC